rnacentral:rRNA from 1 species
AACCAACAGGGAUUGCCCCAGUAACGGCGAGUGAAGCGGCAACAGCUCAAAUUUGAAAUCUGGUCCCCAGGGCCCGAGUUGUAAUUUGUAGAGGAUGCUUUUGGCGCGGCGCCUUCCGAGUUCCCUGGAACGGGACGCCAUAGAGGGUGAGAGCCCCGUCUGGUCGGAUGCCUAGCCUCUGUAAAGCUCCUUCGACGAGUCGAGUAGUUUGGGAAUGCUGCUCAAAAUGGGAGGUAUAUGUCUUCUAAAGCUAAAUAUUGGCCAGAGACCGAUAGCGCACAAGUAGAGUGAUCGAAAGAUGAAAAGCACUUUGAAAAGAGGGUUAAAAAGUACGUGAAAUUGUUGAAAGGGAAGCGCCUAUGACCAGACUUGGGCCCGGUGAAUCAUCCAGCGUUCUCGCUGGUGCACUUUGCCGGGCACAGGCCAGCAUCAGUUUGGUGCGGGGGAUAAAGGCUUUGGGAAUGUGGCUCCCUCGGGAGUGUUAUAGCCCAUUGUGUAAUACCCUGCGCCGGACUGAGGUACGCGCAUUGCAAGGAUGCUGGCGUAAUGGUCAUCAGCGACCCGUCUUGAAACACGGACCAAGGAGUCGUCUUCGUAUGCGAGUGUUCGGGUGUCAAACCCCUACGCGUAAUGAAAGUGAACGCAGGUGAGAGCUUCGGCGCAUCAUCGACCGAUCCUGAUGUUCUCGGAUGGAUUUGAGUAAGAGCAUACGGGGCCGGACCCGAAAGAAGGUGAACUAUGCCUGUAUAGGGUGAAGCCAGAGGAAACUCUGGUGGAGGCUCGCAGCGGUUCUGACGUGCGAAUCGAUCGUCAAAUAUGGGCAUGGGGGCGAAAGACUAAUCGAAC